UUAUUUGAAACAGGAUACAACCUCCAAUAAUGGGUAAUUAUAGUGAAAUAAACAAAGUGGGCCUAAAAGCAGCCAUCUCCCAAAAAGCGUUAAAGCUUAGUUAUUUUAUCACCAAUAAUUCCUCACACUUCUAUUAACCCUUCACUAUUACUGAAUUAUUUUAUAAUAUUAUAAAAGACACUAUGCUAGAACUAGUAACAAGAAAUUGACUUUCUCCAAAAUGUAAGUAUAAGCCAAAAUGGACCAACCAUUGACAAUUAACGCAAAUGAAUAAACUAUAGCAACAUAAAACCAGAAUACCCUAUAACUCUAAACGUUGACCUUACACCAGAACAUUUCAGGAAAGAUUAAAAGAGAAAGAAGGAACUCGGCAAACCUUAGCCCCGCCUGUUUACCAAAAACAUCGCCUCUUGAUUAAUUAUAAGAGGUCCAGCCUGCCCAGUGACAAAGUUCAACGGCCGCGGUACCCUAACCGUGCGAAGGUAGCAUAAUCACUUGUUCUUUAAAUAAGGACUAGUAUCAACGGCACCACGAGGGCUAUACUGUCUCCUUUCUCCAAUCAGUGAAACUGAUCUCCCCGUGAAGAAGCGGGGAUUAAUAU
rnacentral:rRNA from 1 species